rnacentral:rRNA from 1 species
CACAGGUGGGAUUGCGUUUUUAAAUAUUGAAUAGGCAUUAAAGUGUGAUUAGGUGGCCAUUGUGCUAGAGUUAAUAGAGGGAGAGCUUAGAGGAAUAACCAAAGGAAGGAUGAAUCUAUAGAUCUUGGUUGGAACAUCAAAAGCGACAGCAUCACUCUAUUUUAAUGACUGACACUGACUCACUAAAGUGUGGGGAGGCAAACCGG